rnacentral:rRNA from 1 species
GCGUUAACGAACGAGACCUUAACCUACUAAAUAGUUACAUCAUUUUCGAAUGAUGAGGAACUUCUUAGAGGGACUAUCGGAUUUAAACCGAUGGAAGUUUGAGGCAAUAACAGGUCUGUGAUGCCCUUAGAUGUUCUGGGCCGCACGCGCGCUACACUGACGAAGUCAGCGAGUAUUUUCCCUUCACCGGAAGGUGUCGGUAAUCUUGUGAAACUUCGUCGUGCUGGGGAUAGAUCAUUGCAAUUAUUGAUCUUCAACGAGGAAUUCCUAGUAAGCGCAAGUCAUCAGCUUGCGUUGAUUACGUCCCUGCCCUUUGUACACACCGCCCGUCGCUAAUACCGAUUGAAUGGUUU